GAGUGGCGGACGGGUGAGUAAUGCUUGGGAACUUGCCUUUGCGAGGGGGAUAACAGUUGGAAACGACUGCUAAUACCGCAUAAUGUCUWCGGACCAAACGGGGCUUAGGCUCCGGCGCAAAGAGAGGCCCAAGUGAGAUUAGCUAGUUGGUAAGGUAAAGGCUUACCAAGGCAACGAUCUCUAGCUGUUCUGAGAGGAAGAUCAGCCACACUGGRACUGAGACACGGYCCAGACUCCUACGGGAGGCAGCAGUGGGGAAUAUUGCACAAUGGGGGAAACCCUGAUGCAGCCAUGCCGCGUGUGUGAAGAAGGCCUUCGGGUUGUAAAGCACUUUCAGUUGUGAGGAAAAGUUAGUAGUUAAUACCUGCUAGCCGUGACGUUAACAACAGAAGAAGCACCGGCUAACUCCGUGCCAGCAGCCGCGGUAAUACGGAGGGUGCGAGCGUUAAUCGGAAUUACUGGGCGUAAAGCGCACGCAGGCGGUUUGUUAAGCUAGAUGUGAAAGCCCCGGGCUCAACCUGGGAUAGUCAUUUAGAACUGGCAGACUAGAGUCUUGGAGAGGGGAGUGGAAUUCCAGGUGUAGCGGUGAAAUGCGUAGAUAUCUGGAGGAACAUCAGUGGCGAAGGCGACUCCCUGGCCAAAGACUGACGCUCAUGUGCGAAAGUGUGGGUAGCGAACAGGAUUAGAUACCCUGGUAGUCCACACCGUAAACGCUGUCUACUAGCUGUUUGUGACUUUAAGUCGUGAGUAGCGAAGCUAACGCGCUAAGUAGACCGCCUGGGGAGUACGGCCGCAAGGUUAAAACUCAAAUGAAUUGACGGGGGCCCGCACAAGCGGUGGAGCAUGUGGUUUAAUUCGAUGCAACGCGAAGAACCUUACCUACACUUGACAUGCUGAGAACUUUCUAGAGAUAGAUUGGUGCCUUCGGGAACUCAGACACAGGUGCUGCAUGGCUGUCGUCAGCUCGUGUCGUGAGAUGUUGGGUUAAGUCCCGCAACGAGCGCAACCCUUGUCCUUAGUUGCCAGCCUUAAGUUGGGCACUCUAAGGAGACUGCCGGUGACAAACCGGAGGAAGGUGGGGACG
rnacentral:rRNA from 1 species